rnacentral:tRNA from 1 species
AGUAGCGAGCGCAGUCGAGCGAAUCUGAUUUGGUUUGGAACCAAGAUGUUGGAGAUUCGAAUCCUCUCGCUCCGACCA